UACGUAGGACGCAAGCGUUAUCCGGAUUUAUUGGGUUUAAAGGGUGCGUAGGCGGGAUUAUAAGUCAGUGGUGAAAUACUGUCGCUCAACGAUAGCAUUGCCAUUGAUACUGUAGUUCUUGAGUACAGUUGAGGUAGGCGGAAUGUGUAGUGUAGCGGUGAAAUGCUUAGAUAUUACACAGAACACCGAUUGCGAAGGCAGCUUACUAAGCUGAAACUGACGCUGAUGCACGAAAGCGUGGGGAUCAAACAGGAUUAGAUACCCUGGUAGUCCACGCUGUAAACUAUGAUGACUGGUUGUUAGCGAUAUACCGUUAGCGACUGAGUGAAAGCAUUAAGUCAUCCACCUGGGGAGUACGUCGGCAACGAUGAA
rnacentral:rRNA from 1 species